rnacentral:rRNA from 1 species
AGGACGAACGCUGGCGGCGUGCUUAACACAUGCAAGUCGAGCGGAAAGGCCCUUCGGGGUACUCGAGCGGCGAACGGGUGAGUAACACGUGAGCAACCUGCCCUUAGCUCCCGGGAUAGCUCCGGGAAACCGGAAUUAAUACCGGAUAUGACCUAGGCCGACAUCGGCCGUGGUGGAAAGUUUUUCGGCUAGGGAUGGACUCGCGGCCUAUCAGCUAGUUGGUGGGGUAAUGGCCUACCAAGGCGACGACGGGUA